rnacentral:lncRNA from 1 species
GAGGUAGGACCGGCGGUGAGGCCGGCACCGCCCCAGGACCCUGUCCGCAGGAGCAGCACAGCAGGCAGCUGCAGGGCAGUGGGAGGAGCUGUCGAGUCAGCGGAAGUCCUGCCCUUGCCCUCGCUCUCAUUGCCUCCCCGUCCCUGUCUCCCCUGACACUCGUUCCUCCAGAAGCCCGGUAAACCCCGUCCUUACGAGCCCCGCCCCUAGCUCUUCUACUACGGAGGGGAACUGCAGAGCCAGAAGAGCACGGAGCAGCAACUCGCAGCCCAAUUGGUGACGCUGCAGAAUGAACUGGAGCUGGCGGAGACCAAAUGCGCCUUGCAGGAGGAGAAGCUGCAGCAGGACGCGCUGCAGACAGCGGAGGCCUGGGCCAUAUUCCAGGAGCAGACCGUAGUCCUGCAGGUGCGGCCCCACUCAGACGCCAAGGUGCCUCCCGCCUCUCCUCCCCCAGACCUGGGGCGGUGUGACGGGCAGCUUCGCAGAGUGCAGUACAGCACCGAGUCGCUCAUGGAGGAGAUGGCCAGGGCGGACCGAGAGACGCGGCUGUUCGGCGGUCCUCGCGCGCUGGCCAUCAGGCGCUGCUGACGCUGCCGCUCCUCUUCCUGGGGCUGUCGCUGCUCUGGACGGUGCUGUUGGACCCCGGCGCCGUCUCCGCGUGGCUCUGGAGCCUCACCUCGGAGACGACGCUGCGCCGCCUGCGCUACACGCUGUCCCCGCUGCUGGAGCUGCGCGCUAACGGGCUGCUGCCAACCUAAGUGCAGCGCCCCGCGCCUGGCUCCAGGUGGACUCCAGGGCACCGGCUUUAUUUCUGGUGCACUCCUCUCCUGAGAGUGUAGACCAAGGUCGCCUAAUAAACUCCUCAAGGGAUGAAGCUCGUGGGUUCGUCGUCUGUCUCCCAUGUCAUGUAGGAGCUUGACUGGCUUUUCAGCCUCCAAAGAUUCCUUCCUUUCUUACAGCUCAUGGAUUUAGAUCCACUCCCCAGUAUUGUAAACAGCAUUUUUAGUUUUUCAGGAUACAUAAUUUGCCAUAUUGCCAGAAACUUGUACAUAGCAUUUGACACUUUUUUCUUUGCCAAUUUGACAAGCUGCUUUUUUCAAGUAUUGUGAUUUGAAAUUAUUUCUACUAUAUUUGAAUUUAUUUCUACCAUUUGUAACAUGUUGAUCCUGAUUUUUCAAUGCUCCCCUUUCCUUCUGUUUGAUUAUUUGGGAAG